ACGGAAGUAGCUCAAUUGGUAGAGUAGUGGUCUCCAAAACCAUUGGUUGUGGGUUCGAGUCCCUCCUUCCGUGCCA
rnacentral:tRNA from 2 species